rnacentral:tRNA from 1 species
GGAGAGGUACACUAAUGGUAAGUGAACAGACUGCUAAUCUGUCGAGGAGUGAGUAACUUCUCUUGUGGGUUCGAGUCCCAUCCUCUCCGCCA